GGCGGUAUGCUUAACACAUGCAAGUCGAACGGUGUCUUCGGACACAGUGGCGGACGGGUGAGUAACGCGUGAGAAUCUAGCUUCAGGUCGGGGACAACCACUGGAAACGGUGGCUAAUACCGGAUGUGCCCUUGGGUAAAAGGCUUGCCGCCUGAAGAUGAGCUCGCGUCUGAUUAGCUAGUAGGUGUGGUAAGAGCGCACCUAGGCGACGAUCAGUAGCUGGUCUGAGAGGAUGAUCAGCCACACUGGGACUGAGACACGGCCCAGACUCCUACGGGAGGCAGCAGUGGGGAAUUUUCCGCAAUGGGCGAAAGCCUGACGGAGCAAUACCGCGUGAGGGAGGAAGGCUCUUGGGUUGUAAACCUCUUUUCUCAGGGAAGAAAAAAAUGACGGUACCUGAGGAAUAAGCAUCGGCUAACUCCGUGCCAGCAGCCGCGGUAAUACGGAGGAUGCAAGCGUUAUCCGGAAUGAUUGGGCGUAAAGCGUCCGCAGGUGGCGAUGUAAGUCUGCUGUUAAAGAGUGAGGCUCAACCUCAUAAGAGCAGUGGAAACUACAUUGCUAGAGUGCGUUCGGGGCAGAGGGAAUUCCUGGUGUAGCGGUGAAAUGCGUAGAGAUCAGGAAGAACACCGGUGGCGAAAGCGCUCUGCUAGGCCGCAACUGACACUGAGGGACGAAAGCUAGGGGAGCGAAUGGGAUUAGAUAC
rnacentral:rRNA from 4 species